CCUACGGGCGGCUGCAGUGGGGAAUAUUGGGCAAUGGGGGGAACCCUGAUCCAGCCAUGCCGCGUGUGUGAAGAAGGCCCUCGGGUUGUAAAGCACUUUCAGUGAGGAAGAACGCCUGGUGGUUAAUACCCAUCAGGAAAGACAUCACUCACAGAAGAAGCACCGGCUAACUCCGUGCCAGCAGCCGCGGUAAUACGGAGGGUGCGAGCGUUAAUCGGAAUUACUGGGCGUAAAGCGCGCGUAGGUGGCUUGAUAAGCCGGUUGUGAAAGCCCCGGGCUCAACCUGGGAACGGCAUCCGGAACUGUCAAGCUAGAGUGCAGGAGAGGAAGGUAGAAUUCCCGGUGUAGCGGUGAAAUGCGUAGAGAUCGGGAGGAAUACCAGUGGCGAAGGCGGCCUUCUGGACUGACACUGACACUGAGGUGCGAAAGCGUGGGUAGCAAACAGGAUUAGAUACCCUAGUAGUC
rnacentral:rRNA from 1 species